rnacentral:rRNA from 1 species
GGGGAAUAUUGGGCAAUGGGCGCAAGCCUGACCCAGCAACGCCGCGUGGAGGAAGAAGGUUUUCGGAUUGUAAACUUCUGUCCUCAAGGACGAAAAAAAUGACGGUACUUGGGGAGGAAGCCCCGGCUAACUACGUGCCAGCAGCCGCGGUAAUACGUAGGGGGCAAGCGUUGUCCGGAAUUACUGGGCGUAAAGGGAGCGUAGGCGGUCUUUUAAGUUAGAUGUGAAAAACCCGGGCUUAACUUGGGAGGUGCAUCUAAAACUGGGGGACUUGAGUGCAGGAGAGGAAAGUGGAAUUCCUAGUGUAGCGGUGAAAUGCGUAGAUAUUAGGAGGAACACCAGUGGCGAAGGCGACUUUCUGGACUGUAACUGACGCUGAGGCUCGAAAGCGUGGGGAGCAAACA